rnacentral:rRNA from 1 species
UACGAAGGGUGCAAGCGUUACUCGGAAUUACUGGGCGUAAAGCGUGCGUAGGUGGUUUGUUAAGUCUGAUGUGAAAGCCCUGGGCUCAACCUGGGAAUUGCAUUGGAUACUGGCAGGCUAGAGUGCGGUAGGGGAUGGCGGAAUUCCCGGUGUAGCAGUGAAAUGCGUAGAGAUCGGGAGGAACAUCUGUGGCGAAGGCGGCCAUCUGGACCAGCACUGACACUGAGGCACGAAAGCGUGGGGAGCAAACAGG